UACGUAGGGUCCGAGCGUUGUCCGGAAUUACUGGGCGUAAAGAGCUCGUAGGUGGUUUGUCGCGUUGUUCGUGAAAACUCACAGCUCAACUGUGGGCGUGCGGGCGAUACGGGCAGACUGGAGUACUGCAGGGGAGACUGGAAUUCCUGGUGUAGCGGUGGAAUGCGCAGAUAUCAGGAGGAACACCGGUGGCGAAGGCGGGUCUCUGGGCAGUAACUGACGCUGAGGGGCGAAAGCGUGGGGAGCGAACAGG
rnacentral:rRNA from 1 species